ACUUCAGUUUGUUCAAAAUGUUGGAAGUUCUAAGUCUACCUCAAAACCUUUAGACACCAUCCUCGUUAAAGGUAAGCUAAUUAGAUUUAUUGGGUUAUGUGCAAGGUUUUGUUUCGUUUCUUUCUUUCAUUUCCUCAUAUUUUGCUUUGAUGUUGUUAUAACUCUUGGUUUAACGAUAUAAUGGUUCACUGGCUGUCUAACAAAAAAAAAUUCCUCUUAUGUCAUGCACAUGUUUCUUUAUCAAAUUCUUCGUGGCAUUGCAUAUUGUCAUUCUCAUAGAGUUUUUCACCGAGAUCUAAAACCCCAAAAUCCACUGAUUGAUCGUCGUACCAAUGCCCUGAAGCUUGUUGACUUUGGACUGGCAAGAGCAUUAGAUCUGCAAGGACAAAGGUGAAGUUGAAGUUUGGUUUCUUGGCUUUAAGAAUUUAAUUUCUCCAAGACCACAUCAUGGAUGUUCUAGGAAUGAUUUUUCUCUGCCUUGGCUACAACUUCCAGUUCUUUGUAGUGGUUCUAUUAUGUAUUUUAAUGUUUUUUUUACUUCUUGUUUAAUGGUCAUUCUGUUAUGCAACAUCUUUGUUGACUUCUUGUUUAAUGGUCAUUUUGUUAUAUGUAUUUUAAUGUUAUGCCUUUUGCGUACUCUAAAUGUAGAAGUUCUGUGUUUUCUUCCACAUGAUCACUUUAAGCAAAGGAUUGAAUGGUGGAAUUUGCACACUUUCAACUGGAGGUCUUGCAUUGGGAAUGGCAGAGUUAUCAGUUCUUGUAGGAGAAUGGAAAGAGGAAUAUGGGAAGAGGUUACUAGUAUCUUUAUUAUAUAUCUGUUUUCCUUUUCUUUAUGAUCGCCAAUUUAAUAAUUUUGAAGUUCACAAAUUAACAUAAACUUACAUGUACGUUGUAAGUAUAUUAUUCAUGAUCGGGAGAUGAAGGAGAGAUAUGUUUAAUGAAUGUCCCUACAAAUUUUUUGGGCAACUUACUAGACAUUGAUUCAACCGCCACCACUUGAAGAUCGGAGUACACUUGGUUCAAGCACAAUGAAACUUGGACGAGUGGAUUAGAAUCUAAAACAGUAUUCAGGCCUUUCACAAUUGGAUUAUGUAAUUUUUUGGGGUCAUCAAGAUCUCAUAUUCUUGGAGUUCUCACCUCACUGUUCGCUCACCAUCAAUCUCCCUUACGGCAUUCUCUCAUAGCAGUCAUCAAUAUAUAUUCGAUGAUAGUGAGUCAAAACACAAAGGUAAUCUUUACUCUUCCCGCUCUUUCGUUUCCCUCACCGUCAUUCUCUGUGUUUCUUUUCUUUCUUUUGUAUAUUUUGUAUAUUUUUGCACUUUUCUUUGACUCGAUGGAACAGGUAAGUGAUGAUUUUUUGGAUUUCAAUUGCUCGUCUUUCUGUUUCGUUUUUUCAUUAUUGAGCUUAAAUUUUUAUGUAGUUUUCUUUUAGGCUGUAAAAUCAAUUUGUAUUGUAAUGGCUGCUAAUCAAAUGCUAUAUAGAAUACCAAAAAGGAUAAAACAUUUCUAGUUAAGUACCUACCACCCCCAUGCUUUUUUGUGUGUAAAUUUGAGCUGAUUUCUUAGGAAAUAUUUUCGUAACUAUUAGUUUUCCCCCUAAUUUUCCUUCUAAUAGCAACUGCCUUAGAUUGAUUUUGAUUAUGGUAGCAUGAUCAUAGAUAUGGUUUGAUUAUUGGUGAUAGAGGCUUCAUGAAGGUUCUUGUUAAGAUUUUCUUUUCUUUUACCUGUCCUAUAAACAAAGAAUGUAUAGGUUGCAUUCAUGAUGGUCUUAUGGAGCUGAUGUUUUACAAUUUGAAUUAUUGUUCACUGAUGUUUCUUGUUGCUUAAAUUUGAUUGUUUAUGAUGAAUGUCAACUUAUCUUGAUGUCUUUCACAAGGAGCAAUCAACAAAUGAAUGAUUGCAACAGAAGAAAAUUCUUGCGAAUACAAUUAGUCAGGCUCUUAUCUUUGUGACAAGAUCUUGAAGUUGGUCAUUUGUGGAGCUUAUUGCUCUCUUAAUGUUUGUUUUUCUGUUUUUUUUUUUUUGCAAAGGAUGAUCAAUGUAAUAGUUAAAGCUUCUCACUUUCUUUGUGUUUGGAGCAAGUUGUAUAGGUAAAUGUACACAAUAUUAAGAUUUCAUUUCGUAUAUAAACAAGUAAAAGAGAAAUAUUAUAGUUUCUAAAA